rnacentral:rRNA from 1 species
UACGAAGGGUGCAAGCGUUACUCGGAAUUACUGGGCGUAAAGGGUGCGUAGGUGGUCGUUUAAGUCCGUUGUGAAAUCCCUGGGCUCAACCUGGGAAUGGCAGUGGAUACUGGACGGCUAGAAUGCGGUAGAGGGUAGUGGAAUUCCCGGUGUAGCAGUGAAAUGCGUAGAGAUCGGGAGGAACACCAGUGGCGAAGGCGGCUCACUGGCCCGGUACUGACGCUGAGGUGCGAAAGCGUGGGGAGCAAACAGG